CAUGAGUCAAAGAAGAAACCGCAGCUUCAAAAACAAGCCUAAUAGACUUAUAGCGUGUUUAUUACGGUCAAUGAAUGAGACUGCAACAGUCUGAAGCUCAACAAUCAAAGAUUUAUUUUGCAAAAAUAAUCAAACGUCAACAACGCUCAUCCACUCAUCUCUGACCACCUGCGAGCAAAAUAUGAGAGAUGGAAAAAGAGGGGAUUCUCACUACGUAGUUUGCUAUGUCACCAUUCAUUAGCUUAUUACACUCAUAUGUAUCGAUAAUAUUCAAUAAUUAUACUAAAUUGAUGCUAGUUUACAUUGUAAUGUAUAUUACUGCCUUUCUUAUAUAAUCAAUAAUAGGCUAAUACCCAGAUUGUUGCUAGUUUACAGUACACUCUUUUAAACUGCUGCUGGUGUGCACUGUUAUGUUAAGUGUUUCUUUAUUUUAUUUUUGUCUGGCUCUAUUUUUGCUUAUACAUUCCCCACUCUCACUACGUAGUUGUCGGGUGCCAUGACACAAUAAUUUAAUUGCUCAGGAUGACGCUGUGUUGCUCGGUCCAUUUGACAAAUAAACGUUGAAACUUGUAACAUCGCUUGGAAUUCUAACUAGAUUUUUCAACAAUGGGAGGGAGGUGGGGGUGGGAAAGAUCCACGUGGGGAUACUACAGCACUACAUUGCUGUGAGGCUGUGAGCAGACAGUGUCAAUCAAUGCAUUUAGGGAAAGUAGCGACCAUAAAUGUACAGAAACGAUGUCGCUUGUCAGAUUUUCCUAACAAGCGACCAAACAUUUUAAAACAAUCCCCAAAAAACCGAGACCAGUAAUUAUUUCAAGCUCUUCUCCCUUAAUUCCACUGCAGUGUAUGUGGUUAUUGCCAUCGUGUGUCGAAUACAGACAAUAAAAGCGACAUACGAGAAAAAAAAGAAAAAAAACAGUAUUUACACACAGUAUGAACGUAUUAGGGAAUCGCAUACUCAAUGGAAUCCAUUACACCUGAUGCGCAGGGUUGAGCCGAUUAUGACGUAAGCGUCGUUCUCCAUUCAGUUAAAGCGGUUGCAUUGACGCAACAAUGUAAAAGACCUGUAAAAGCAAGUGCUUUCAGCAGAGCGGUUCAUAACCAAACUGAACAAUCAUCUGAGCAAAACUACCUACUUUAAGACUGUAAGACUGGAUCAGGUCUGGCUGUCUUUGCCUUGGUGUUGCUAGAAGGCAGUGUUCUAACCAUCGCUGAUACACAAGACCAGUUCAGCUUCUUCCUGGGGUUCCCCUGUGAUAACAUGCAGCCUGGACUGUCAACCAGGUGGGUCUGCGUCAUCCAACUAAAUAUCUCUGUCUAACACUUUGUCUGACAACCCUGUUUCCCUCCCACAGGGCCAUCCAGGACUGCCUGGUAAAUGGACGUAUCAUUAGUGCCUCAAGAGUUUGCUGUCUGUGUGCGUUGCCUCUGACCCCUGAAAUCUACAAUGCAACGUUUUACACUACCAACUUAAAGACUGGGUCUGGUCUGGAGGGUCAUCUCAUGUACGAGUUGACCUUCCAGACCCUGGUAAGUAGAAGACCACUCUGAUCCUGUGUUUUCUUCAGCACAUAGUCUAAUAGCUCAGUUAGGUAUUUUCAGUUAAUUAACGGGAAGGGAAAAUGUCUAAAAUUCGCUGCAAAGACCCAAUUGCCACAGUGGGACAUAUUUUGUUCUCUGAGUAAUAUGGACCCAACCUAAAAUCGGUUUACCUUCAGCCUGACAUUUGAAGUCGAUCCAUCCCGUUCCUCUUUCAGUAAUGUCUAGAAGUAAAAGGCUUCUUGCUGUUGGGUAUUAUACCAGAUCUUCAGAUGAAGAGUUCAUUGGCCAUUGGCAGACAUGCUGGCUGACUUUGCCUUGGUGUUGCUAGAAGGCAGUGUUCUAACCAUCGCUGAUACACAAGACCAGUUCAGCUUCUUCCUGGGGUUCCCCUGUGAUAACAUGCAGCCUGGACUGUCAACCAGGGCCAUCCAGGACUGCCUGGUAAAUGGACGUAUCAUUAGUGCCUCAAGAGUUUGCUGUCUGUGUGCGUUGCCUCUGACCCCUGAAAUCUACAAUGCAACGUUUUACACUACCAACUUAAAGACUGGGUCUGGUCUGGAGGGUCAUCUCAUGUUCGAGUUGACCUUCCAGACCCUGGUAAGUAGAAGACCACUCUGAUCCUGUGUUUUCUUCAGCACAUAGUCUAAUAGCUCAGUUAGGUAUUUUCAGUUAAUUAACGGGAAGGGAAAAUGUCUAAAAGUCGCUGCAAAGACCCAAUUGCCACAGUGGGACAUAUUUUGUUCUCUGAGUAAUAUGGACCCAACCUAAAAUCGGUUUACCUUCAGCCUGACAUUUGAAGUCGAUCCAUCCCCGUUUCUCUUUCAGUAAUGUCCGGAAGUAAAAGGCUUCUUGCUUUUGGGUAUUAUACCAGAUCUUCUGUGUCAUCCCUUCUGCUAAGUCCUGCUAAUGUAUGUGUUCUCGGAGUGUUGUGUAGCUGCAGCAACAGGUGACCACCAUUCUUAACCAGCUUCCUCCUGCUCCCAGACCAGCGAGACCCACACCUGACCCACACAUACCAAGAGGCCAUGGACAAACUGAUAAAGGGUGUGCCUAAUGUCAGAGAGGAACCCUGCUCGGAACACUAAAUCAAACCCUGACAACCUAUAGGACACACUGGAGACAUGCAUGUGUGUGUGUGUAUAUAUAUAUAUAUAUAUAUAUGUGUGUGUAAACUUGUGAGCACCAUGACCAAUCAGCAAAAAAAAGAUACUGGGACAUUUUGGCGGUCCUAUUCUGCAAUUUGGAAACGUCAAUGAUAAUGUGUGUAGACCAAAAUAUCUGAAAAAUAUUUAUGUAAUUUAGAUGAAAUUGGGAAAAAAAUUAUGUUAUUUGGCAUAAGAUUAUUCUUAAAAAUUCUUAUCCGGCACAGCCAGAAGAGGACUGGCCCCUCAGAGUCUGGUUCCUCUCUAGGUUUCUUCCAAGGUUUUUGACCCUACUUGGGAGUUUUUCCUAGCCACUGUGCAUCAAUGUAUUGUUCUUGCUUGCUCUUUGGGGUUUCUAGGCUGGGAAUCUGUGCAUUUUGUGAGAACAGACAAUAUAAAAAUGGCUUUAUAAAAUAAAAUGUGUUCAUUGCUUACAUCAGAUGUGGUUUUGCCUUCAUUAAAAAUCUUUAUAGUGGAAAUGGGUGUGAUUUGUCUUGGUUGUGCUCUUUUGCAGAAUAAUAACAGACCCAAGUCAGGGGGAGAAGCUUUCAUUCACAAAAUAUAGUACACGUCAGCCUUCUUUCCAUCUCUUUCUUGGCCUUUCCAGCUGUCUUUGUGCUUCCCCAAAUAUCUCUGUCUUAAACAGCAUAUUUAUUCUUGACUGGACCUUCAACACAUCCCAUGCACUAUCUGGCUGUCUUCCAAUCAUAUACGUGUAUUCUAAAUCUUAUCCUUGUAGGGCCUGGUAUAGUGUCCCAUCUUGAGAUCUUGGCUCCACACAUUCCCACUUAGCAGGUUGUAUGGGAGCCUCUUCAACUGUUUGUGAUACGGUACUUCAUACAGCACAAGAUAACGAAGUACCAAUCCUCGGUUUUGUGUUUCUAAACAAGAGAAUAGAACCAAAAUAAAUGUAUAUAAUAAAUGUAUAAAGACAUGCUUUCUCACAAUUCCCCCCAUGACUUUAAAAUACCACAUUUAUAUGUCAGAACAACUAGUCUAUAUAGCAUAUCAGCACUACCCAUGUAAUAAUAAGAAAAUUAAAAACAGUUACAAAUAAUAAAGCAAGCUCAUUCAUCUCACCACAAGUGUGAGAGGUACAGUUGUGGUUACUAUGCAUGCAUAUUCAAAUGAAUGACAGACAGUGGUAUUCAAAUUUGGCAUGGCCUUUGCUCUGGAAUGUGCCGUGGGAGCAUGCGCCUUACCUUGAGCGACAGACCCCUGCCAAUAGCACACUUGACAAGUUGUACCAAGAUAAAAAAGAUCAACACUACAACCACCGCUGGCAUAAUCAUGUUCAGCAGAGAACCUCCCAAUUUACAAAAAAUAGAUGACAACCAUGUAGAAAAACCUACAUCAAUCAUCAGGAUUGUGAUUAUGGUAUUUGGCACCUUCCUCACGGAUCUUACCAGCCAAAUCAGUCAGUUCUUCAGAGUUAUCAGGUAUGUACGUACAACACUAAAUUCCAAUAACUGCACAGGUUCCCCCUGAGCAGACAAUAUGUAGUCAAGAGCAAGUCUAUUUUGCAUUGCAACAGUACGAAGGGCAACCAUUGCAGCUGACUGUAAUUUCAGACUUUCAGAGGUCAUGUUAGCGAAAGCCUCCAAAGAGCUAGCCACACUAAUAACUUCUCCUGCCAACAUGGCAGUGCCAUAGGGAGGGAAUGCAAUAGCAAAAACCUGUUCCGUUUCAGUGAUGGCUCGUGUAUGUCGUGUUUUAAAGGGAGAAUAUGUACUCAGUCUCACAUGUGGAAUUACAUAACUCAAAUAACAUGAUCCUCGCCAUAAAGGUGGGAGCCAUGGAUAGGCAUUGGGGCUGCAAAUGAAGUGAGUUCCGUUAGGAGCAAUCAUGCCCGUAGUUAUUAAGUUAGCUAUGGUGUUGGCAUAAAAUACAGUUGCAGUCCCAUUAUUGAGGGUUAUAUUGGCAUACAUAAAACACUCAGGGUCUGCUGUUUUGGUUGCAAUACAAACCAAAAGCAUCAGAAUAUUGUUCCGUUAGACUUUUGGAUUGUUCUUGCUGUAUACACAACCAUCCCCUAGGCUGAUUAGUAACUACUAUAUGUGGUGGACGACGCCAGAAAUCAGGGCUGUUCCUAUUAAAGGCUGGCAUAUAACUAUGACGCCAUGAUUUCACAGGCACACCUAAAGAUGUUACAUGAUCCUGGACAGUAAUACAUCCAGAUUGAUUAGGUUCCCUUCAACAGGGGUCAGACGCAUUUGGUCCACGAGAGUGCAAGUAGCUAUCAUUAACACCCCAAUUUUUGUAUAUAGAAAAUUUGAACCAACUGAGGUCUUUCCAGAUCCCUAACAUCUCAGACUGAUUGAAUGGAAUGACUCCCUAACAUCUCAGACUGAUUGAAUGGAAUGACUCUCUAACAUCUCAGACUGAUUGAAUGGAAUAACUCCUAAGGGAAUACCUCCGUUAGCGGUGAAAAGGCUGUGGGUACAAAUCCAACAACUACUCUGGUUAACCGUCCUGGCAAAUUGUAGGGAGAGGGCCAAACAUGUAUUAAUACCAUGAUGACCAUCCUCGUGAGUAUGGUGUCUAUGUUUGGGACUAGAGCACCACCACUCUGUACCACCAGGAAACACACAGAAACAAUUACCAUGAACAGAAUGAUCUACAAAUGGAAAAUAUGUAUGACAGCUAGCUGAUUGAGAAAGAUAUUGGUUAAAGCCCUGAACUACCCAAUUUACUAUUCAAGGGCUAAACGUUUUUAAAUCUUCAUUUGUGAUUGUUGAUUUCUUUCUUUGGCAAUGUUAAUCUAAUAAGAUCAGGUGUGUAAGCAGUUGAGUAUUUCAAAUACAUGGAAUAACUGGGGGUUCCAGAGGAGUUUUCAUAACCACUGCAAAAAUCCUCACACCAUGAAAUCUCUAGUCCAGAAUCCAAACCAGUAAAUCUACAGUAUAUCGCCUGUGGUAGUAACUACAUGAACAUCUUUUAAGAAUGAACAUUUUAUUUCUUGUUGAUUUUCUUUAAGUCCUAGACACAUGAUGGUGCAGAUGGAAAAACUCUAGAUACCUUGAGGGAACAGAGGACCAGACUACUUUCAGGGCAUGUCCUCCUGAGUCAGUUUACUGCUCCCAGUACCUCUACAGUUCCAGCCUAUCUCAUACAGUCUGAAAAACAACCAUG
ensembl:lncRNA